ACCUGGAGAGUUUGUACUGGCUUUUUCUGGUCUGAAUAGGAAGCAUUCCCCUGCUCCACUCAUCAGCACCAGAUCCUGCGACAUCUCCACAUUCCCACAGUGAGGUAGGAUAACCUUGCCAAAGAGGAAAGGAAUUUGGACAGACUUAACAUCCAGCCUGUGCAGCUUCCACGAGCUGGACGCUAAAAUGAAGAGAGAGUUUAUUCAUUCCCAUCUCAGCAUAGCCCACCAGAAUUAAAGGACAUUUUAACCUACAAGGGAGAUUGGGUCAAAGACUUCCCAACCUGCCUACAUAGAGAAGGCUGUUCAAUUCCUCUGGCUACCAAGUCUCCACAUUUCUGAGUUGGAUGUGAAGAAUAAAGGGAGUCUGGCAAGGAAUCAGGAGGCGUCCAAGUCAGCGUAAGAGACAGCACCAGAUCUGAGUCCGGGCGCUUCCUGCUCCGGCGACCGC